ensembl:lncRNA
ACAGAUAGGAACUCAGUCUCCUUGAGAUCAUUGCUUAUGUUUUUGUGCUCCCUGAAGUGAUGUUUGGGAGCUGCAAUCACCUGUCUUUGUUUUUCAAUCCAAAAAAGGAUGAAUAAUAAGAGAAAAUAAGAUGUCAGAAAAGAGGAGGAACUUCUCUAGGAACCUCUAUAUACCUAACCCAUCCAUUUCUCCUCAGCUGAUUUUCUAAGGAGAGCAUAUGGGUCUCCCUUCAUCACCUCUGUAACUGCAAAACUUCGUGGCUGACCUCAGUUAAAGGAUGGAGGAAGAAAAGAAACUUCAAAAAUAUUAAAUUCUUGUAUCUUAAAUGAAAUUUAGGUGCAGGUGAGAAGAGAGAUGUCUUUAAUAUUCUGGCUGAGGAAAGGGACUACAUGUCUCAUCCUCAGACAGGGAAAAUCUGUAAGUUAAUGAAUGAGACUUUAUCACUGUGUUUGCUGCAGAAAAGUUACACCAAAAACCCCGGUCCAGCCUGAGAUGCUAACCUGGACUGAACCUUGUGCUCAGAAGACAGAGGGUCCUUUCCAAAAGGAAGAAUAUAAGUGGUUGGCAUUCUGAAAGAAACUACUGCUGGGCAACUUCACAGGUUUUUUUCAAAAAUGGAUUUUUGCUGUAAAGAAUCUGAUUGAAACACCCACACGAAAGCAAGAACAGAAGUCCUGAAUGAUUUUUGUUUGGAGAGAAUAUCAAUGAUAGCAACUGCACAAACUAAUUUGGAAUCCACAAGGGUCAACAUUAUGUGUGUAUGAGAAGGCCAAAACAGGCAAUGCAAUUAUAAUCUGAGUGGUGUAUUAGUCAUUUGCAAUAUAUUGCUUAGAAAACCUAUCUUACAGCCCAGUAAGGAAAACACACCUCUUCCAGGAACAAGUCAGUCCUGCUUUGUCUCUUUUCUUUCCUGUAAGAAUGGAACAUUUCUCUAGCAGAUCUGUAGAAAACAGAAGUGUGAUUCACCUAGCCAAGCCAAGUCUGUGACUUCAUAUUUAUUAUAAAGCAAAGACUAACUUUCUGCCUUUAUUCAUCUAUACAGUCUUCAUAGGGUGUACAUUUAGCAGAAUUUUAGAAAUUACAGUUAACUAGGUCUAUGAAACAGAUAUUCAAGAUAUGGCAUGAAAAAAUGCAAUAACUAUGAACAUAGACCCUCAAACCAGCAAUAUGCUAAUAUUUCUAUUUUAGCAUUUACAGAUAUUCCCACAAUUUUCAACAAUUUUAUGUUACUGUAUUUGUUUGCUGAAUGCACAUUGUAUUAAUUAUAUGACCACAGAAUUACUGAAUACAAUUUUGUAUGCAGAAUUAAUAAAACACAUGAAAAAAACUUUCACAUUCUAUUAGUGAUUAAUAAGAUAAAAUAAGAAUAUUGCACGAAAAGAUAUACAUUUGCCAAAUAAAAUAUAUAUAUAUAUAUAUAUGUUAAUUUGACCAGAAUUUCUUUUACUGCAUGCUCACACUAAGAAAACAGGAAAUAUAUUGAGACAAGCACUCUGGGAUGGGAUUCAUCUGCUUGCAUGUAGACACUAGUAAUUCAUAUUCUUUUGACUGUAAUAGUGAAGAAAUUGAAAAAAAGAUUUCUGGGAUAUGAUUAAUCCUUUUUAAAGAUAGUCAUCUAAAAAAUAGACAUCUAAAAUAGAUCAUAUUGAUUCUCACCCUUUUAAAGCUUGUAUAUGGCUGAAGAGGAGAAAGGAUGAAGUCUUGCCUUCCUUCAAGCCAAAGGUAAAAAUGCUUUUAUUUUAUUAAUGUGAAUAUUUC